rnacentral:rRNA from 1 species
GACGAACGCUGGCGGCGUGCUUAACACAUGCAAGUCGAACGGUAAGGCUCUUCGGAGUACACGAGUGGCGAACGGGUGAGUAACACGUGAGCAACCUGCCCUUGACACUGGGAUAACAGCCGGAAACGGUUGCUAAUACCGGAUAUGACCUCUCCAGGCAUCUGGAAAGGUGGAAAGCUCCGGCGGUCAAGGAUGGGCUCGCGGCCUAUCAGCUUGUUGGUGAGGUAACGGCUCACCAAGGCUUCGACGGGUAGCCGGCCUGAGAGGGCGACCGGCCACACUGGGACUGAGAUACGGCCCAGACUCCUACGGGAGGCAGCAGUGGGGAAUAUUGCACAAUGGGCGCAAGCCUGAUGCAGCAACGCCGCGUGCGGGAUGACGGCCUUCGGGUUGUAAACCGCUUUCAGCAGGGACGAAGCGAAAGUGACGGUACCUGCAGAAGAAGGACCGGCCAACUACGUGCCAGCCGCCGC